CCCUUAGAUGUUCUGGGCCGCACGCGCGCUACACUGGCCGGUGCAACAAGCAUCCGUCCUUGGCCGACAGGCCCGGGCAAUCUUUGAACGCCGGUCGUGAUGGGGAUAGACUUUUGCAAUUUUUGGUCUUCAACGAGGAAUUCCUAGUAAACGCAAGUCAUCAACUUGCAUUGAUUACGUCCCUGCCCUUUGUACACACCGCCCGUCGCACCUACCGAUUGAAUGGUCCGGUGAAGCCUCCGGAUUGGCGCGCACCUCGGUGCCGCCGAGAAGUUGGCUAAACCUUACCAUUUAGAGGAAGGUGAAGUCGUAACA
rnacentral:rRNA from 1 species